GCAUGGGUUUGGGUUUAUGGCAGGCUGACGCCCUGGGCCUCUCAUAGCAUCCCAUGACAGAGCAAACUGGCCCCAGACCAUUGCCUGACCUCUGUCUAUAGGCUGCAGGCACUGCAGUGGGUUGCACAUUG
ensembl:snoRNA